AUGCGUUCCCUAGGGCUGGAGCUGGGGGGGGGGGGGGGGUGGUGUUCGCUUCGGGGUGUUUUGAUCCCAUUGUGCGACGGAGCUCCAAAACAAAUCCCUAAGCGCUGCUCCGGGUCGUGAGGGAGCCGGGCAGCGCUACCGGCGCCCGGCGGUGGGGGGGGAAGCCGCGGGCCGCGCUCCGCCCGCCCGCCGGGAGGAGGCAGGUGUCGGUCCGGGGGGCGGAGGCGGUGCCCGGCCCGUCAGACGGCCCCGCCGCCGCCCGGCACCCAAACAACCGGCCCCGGCCCUGCGCCCCGCCGGCGGCGGCGGCGGGGGGGGGGCGGGUGGGAGGGUGACGGGGAGGUGGCCGGGGGGGGGGGAACCCUCCGGUGCGCGGGCCCGACCCAAUCAGGAGGCGACCCCGCGCCGGGAGAGCGAAUCGGCGUCGCCGCAAAGCGCACAUGACCGGCUGCGCCCCUGCCCGUCAUCUGGGCCCUAUAUAGCGGGGCGGGGGGCGGCGGACGGGGGCUGCGCGGCCGGCGGGGGCAGCGGCGGGGCCCGGCGGGUAACUCCGCCGCCCUGCCGGGCUGAGGGCCGAGCCCGAGAGCGGUAGGGAGCUGUUCUCCCUGCCUUGCACCGGCAGCAACUUUUUUUUUUUUUUCAUUUUUUUUUUCUUUUUUUUUUUUUUUUUUUUGGAAAGCGAGCCGAGCGCGGAGCCUUCCCCAGGAGCGCGCCGCCCCGCCAGCUCCUACUCCAAAAAGAUGGCAAGAAAAAGCCUCUAGCCACACAGCAAAAGCGAUCUGCAAAGGCAACACACCAGAAAGGUUUCUCCACACCUACAAACCAAACUCCUGUCAGAGAUUAUACUCCACAACCAGCUCUAGCCAGGUGAUCUCCAUCCCAGUAUUUUCAACUGAAAGAUGACAGUGAGCUGCUACUAUAGCAGCUCUUCUUCCUGAAGUUAAAGCCAAGACAGGUCCAUCUGUAUCAGGAAAAUACCAGAAGAAACACAAAGAGAAAAUGCACUUCUGUAUUGACAGAUAUUAUCAGGUUGUUAGUCCUAGCCACAUUUCACUGUUCAUGUUUCAGCCACCUGCCAAAUUUAUUCUUUGUUUUACAGCAUGUAAGCGAUAGCAACAGAGCCACCCAUGGACAGCAUCAUCAUAACCCUUCACAGCACUCUCAGCGUAACACAGCAAAGCCAUCCCAUUACUACUGAACAAGAACCUUCCUGGCCUGGGAAGGGGUCACGUUUCAGAGGACGAUGGGUGAAAACAAUAGCCUUUCUUCUAUCCCUCUUUCCCCAGAUUCCCAAAGCCUGUGUUGCCAAGCCACCUUAUUCUCAUGACAGAUAUUCCUGAAGGACUUUACACCAUGCUGGACUCUGCAGUGUGAUGUGGUCCUUCCCCUAGAAACCCUUCCCUGCCCCCUGCUUUACUCCUCUCCUUCAGGGCUUGGGAUCUCCCCGUGCUCUGGGCAGGUAUCAGAGCUGCUUCAUCAGCCAAAGAUGAGUUGCAGGGCAGAGCAGACACAGGGUAGUUAGUCAGCAGAAGCAGGGAGCUUUGCAGUACAGUCAGGUCCAGGGAAGUUGGUUCCAGCCAGCAACACACACUGGAAGGCACUGAGCCCUACCAUGCUACUGUUUUAAAUAUUGUUAAAAGAUAUUUCAGUUUGUUUUCCUAGACACCUUAGAAGUUAUUUGGAUAACUUGCAGUGAUCUUAUUUAGCCCAGGUUAAAUAUGAGCACUAAAAGCAUGAUGUAACUCUUUAAGAACUGCAGGGGGAUUUUUAAAGGGGCAGAACAGUUGAUCAACUAACUCAAUGUUAAUAAAAGUGACACCUAA